rnacentral:rRNA from 1 species
GGAGUCUGGACCGUGUCUCAGUUCCAAUGUGGCUGAUCGUCCUCUCAGACCAGCUAUAGAUCGUCGGCUAGGUAGGCCAUUACCCCACCUACUACCUAAUCUUCCGCGGGCCAAUCUUUCGGCAAUAAAUCUUUCCCCCUCAGGGCUUAUGCGGUAUUAGCAGUCGUUUCCAACUGUUGUCCCCCACCAAAAGGUAUGUUCCCACGUGUUACUCACCAGUGCGCUACUCUCAUGAUUAAUAGCAAGCUAUCAACCAAUCCCGUUCAACUUGCAUGUGUUAAGCCUGCCGCCAGCGUUCGUU